CCUGACUCAACAUCAACAGAAUGGCAUUAUAUUAUAUAUAUUAUAUAUAUAUAUAUAUUUUUUUCCCCUAGUUACCACUAAAAUCAGUUCCUUGUUGUAGCUCAUGGCAUGAGUUUCCCGGCCAGCUGUGCUGCACAACAGAAGGGGCAGUGUGUCCCUACGAGGGUUGUAACAAGACCUGGGUAAGGGAGAAGGGGCAGACAGACAGAAGCAAUACCUAGAAGCCACUCUGCCAAAGUGUUUUUCAACACCAGAGACAGCUCACAGGCCAGUGGGGACAGAAGAGGGACUUCAGCUGACACACAUUUCUGGCAACCUUCCUUUGACUGAACCAACCUAAACAGUGCUUGAAUUUUCCUAUGGUCAUGGGCCUGCUUUCAAGCAAACUACACAGGGGAUGAUUAAAGCUUUAAGAAGAAAACACCGUGGAAGGGAGUUUAAAGGGAGAAUUAACUGGGCGCUGUAGGAGAGGGUGGGGUUGGGAUUGCAGAAUAAGGCGGUUUCAGUCUGGUCUGAAGGGAAGGGUGAGAAAUGAGUGCUGGAUGCUUACUUGAAGCAAUGGGCGAUUGCAGCCUCUUCCUCAAGACCUUGAAUUUGGAUGAGGAAGGGUGGGGCAGAGAGAAGGGGAGGGUGCAGUCUCCAGAGACUGCUGAGCAGGCAGAAUGUUGUGAGCAAGGUGAGUCAUGAGGUGCAGGCAGCAGGAAUUUCCUGCAGUGUUUAAGACACGCAUGUGGAGGCAGGAGCAGGAGAGUGCAGUGACCAAGUGUCUUGUUUCACAGAACUUCCCAUGCCAUCCUAACAAGUGCAGGAUGUCAUUUUUUCCUGUAUCUUAGGCCAAUGGUACAUAUUUUUCUCUCUUUAUCGGCCUUUCUCACUGGUUUGUUUUGCUUGCAUACUAUGCCUCAUAGUAUUAUGACGCUGACCAACACUGGGAAGAAAAGCUCAAGCAGUCUGCACCGCAUGUACCAAACCUUCUGAUGAUCUCAUCUAAUUGUUCUUUAAAAAAAGCACAACAAAACGUGAAAUUGUUGUGACUCAAGAAAAAGAAGAAACUGCUUUGGAGUCUCCUCACUAUUGAUUCUGCUGUCAGUGUGAAUUCCCUGCACCCCUGUGAUCCGGAGGUAAGACAAAGAAAAGUACACCCUUCGUUUCUUCCCCGCGCUCUGCUGUGUCUGUGUCUGCAAAGGAAUUCAAAUCUCCUCCAGAUUGCCUGGGCUGUUUGUUCUUGUACUGCUGGAGAACAGCACUACUUCAGUUCUUUGGCUGUCAACAAGCUUUUGCUAACCUGCUGGUUUUGGGGUUUAUUUUUUUCUUUUCUCUGUACCUUGUUGAGGAAGUCCUCCAUGUACCACGGAUUACUGAGUUUUGGCAUAACUACAUCAGCUCUAAUGUACUGUCCCUGUUGUAAUGAUCACCUCAAAUUAGACUGAGCGUACCGGAGCCCUCUGUGUGAAGGACAAAGUAACAUCCUCCCUUGAAGUGUAACUGAAUGUGUAAAUUAUUUUUUUUUUUUCUAAUGGAUUUCCUAGCAGUGUGUCUCUUGUUUUGGGCUUUUAUCAGACCAUUCAAAUGCUACUGAUUUGGACACUUUCAAGGUUAAGACUCACCCGUUCUCAGACAGAUCUCAUCUUUUGACUGGAACCAGGGUAUGAAAAAGUCAAAAACCUGCAAGAAAGAAAGGAGGAGAAUUACCUUUUCUGAGCUGAUUGAACUGUGACCUAGCAAUGUCAGUAACGAGAGAACUAAGUCAUCACUGCUGCUUCUGCUUGAUUCGGAUUUUAUCUUAACACUUUAGGGAGCUCACGGACCGAGCCUUCAUGCAGGAUUUUGUGGUUUCAAUGAACUGAAAGUAGGGCACUAAAGAUCGUCAGAGUAUUUCUUUGAUGACUGCAGCAGUUCUCACCGCUGCGGCACUGAUCUCCUGUUUUAAACGCUAAGCGAUUGCCAUUAGGCGGGUUCGUACCCUCCUUCCCGUGCAUCCUAUCCUAAGGUUUCACUCCCUCUCUCCGAAUACACAAAUUACCCAACGAGCCGGCGUCCCUACUGCUGCUGCACUUAGGAAAGUGAGAAGCGUUAGGUCUGCAUCCCCGAACCCGCUGUGCGCACAUGACCUCAAAGAACCCCAGAGUUCUCAAAAAAGCACACAGCUACGGGCUUGUGAACACGAUUCGCUUCGGCUCCUCUGCAAGUUAAAGAUGCCAUUUGUUUGCUCUCAAAGAUGAAUGCAAUGUCACAUCCCUUCCCUCCGAGGCUGUGGUGCUCCCCCAGCACCGUGGCGUUUCGUGCUGGCGUUGCUCACUGCGGGCUGCCGGUGUUGCUGCGGACAGAUAUGCGUGCAGAUCGAUGGGCGAGCAGCCAGCCCUGCUUGUGCUGAUGUAGUGCUCAGGAGCACCCUCCCCAGAUUUUAAUCCUCUGUGGCUAACUUUUCCUGUUCCUCUGUGGCAAUGCCAGAUAUGCCUGCUAUGACUUGAGGAGGUGGUACUCUUCCUGUUGCACAGAGAACAAAGUCUUUCUGGACUGAGCCGUGGUUCAGUUUUGUCAUCUGUUCUUAAGCUGAACCAUCACCACUUCAUGUUUUUUUUUUUUUUUUUAAUGUGGCAAGUUCAGUAAGAAUUGGGUAACAUGUGACUAAUCUCUAUACCCCAUUUAAAAUCCAUUCGAAAUAGUGUUUUCUGCUUAAUUUCUUCUUGCCACCCCUCCAAAAAUUUGCCAGAUUACCCAAUUUCGUCUCUGUGUCUGGGUGCCACCCACCUCCCUGGUCUACUGAAAAUCCCCAUCCCAUACGGAUUGCUGGUCAUUUCCACAUGACAAUUUACUGAACGUCUUCUUCACGUCCAUACAGACAAAGGAAAAAAAGAGUGAUGUCUGGCGUUAACUUCAUCCCCCUUUUUUUCAAUAUUAAAAUGACUUUAACUGUCAAAGUUUGUUCUGAAGUCUCGUAUGUGACUGGCGCUCAUUCUGCUCAUCUUUCUCUCUUCCCCAUCUAUUUUUCUUCAGAUGGCAACGUUCCCAACUCAACGAAUUUACCAGCCCUCACUCGUCCAAACCCCGGCCUGAGUUGAUGAGUAAAAUAUGAACCAAUUGCCUCGGUUUUAGCACAUUUAACUCUUUGGUUUUGUUUCCACUUCGGGCAGUGACGUGUAUUUUGCAUUCAGCCUCGGCCACGCCACAGCCUGGAAGCUUCUUAUGGCGAACAGAGGUGUGAGGCCUCACUUCAGACGCUCUCCUGAUGCACGGCAGGACUACACUUCUGCUUGUUUCUGCCAGUGCCACUGAAAACCUCUUUCUGUCCCCUUUGUGCCCCCGCCGAGCUCUCUCUGUCAGCGAUUCUCACAGGGCAGAGUCACACGCUAACCCUCUCCUUGUUGAGGGGCCUUCCCUUGAGAAGGUACGCAGUUCCUUCUCCAGACAGCUUCGCAGCCUUCCUUCCCCCCGCACCCCACUUCCCACGCUUCGCUCAGUUUUUCUCUUCGCCCCCGAGCCCGAUGCCGCCCUGCGACUGCGAGUCGCGCCUCAGAGGCGGGGCGGCC
ensembl:lncRNA